rnacentral:misc_RNA from 1 species
GCAAACUUGGUCAUUUAGAGGAAGUAAAAGUCGUAACAAGGUUUCCGUAGGUGAACCUGCGGAAGGAUCAUUAACGUAUCUCUGGCGGGUGCCGGUCGCGCCCUGCUCCGGCCCGCAAGGCCGUGCAGCGGGUGCCCGCUCCCCGUCCAACCUUUGCAAACCACCGUGCACAUUCACGGCAGAGGGCCCGUUCUCUCCCCGCCUGCGUUGCGCCCCCUGUGGGGUGUCGGGUGGGGGGUUGGGUCGGCCUGAAGCCGCUUCACCUAAAACUCCAGUAUUGAACGAAUGUUGAUGCGGCCGCUGUGUCGCCUAACAAAUGUAACAACUUUCAACAACGGAUCUCUUGGCUCUCGCAUCGAUGAAGAACGCAGC